GGAGCUGAGGACCAUGUAGGAAUUCCUGACUGAAGUCAUGAGCUCGGAGGCGAUGGAGGACUGUGUGCAGGGGGCACUCUCAUCACUUUACCCUCCAUUUGAGAGCACGGCACCACCCCUCCUCUCACAGGUCUUCUCAGUCCUGGAGUCCACCUACCAACAUGAC